CAAAUCACAACAAACAUGAACUCCUCUCCCUCUGUUAUCAGUGUUAAAAAUAGAUCAGAAAAAUGUGAAGCAAAUGAUGCGGUGAGCUCAGCAUCACCCUGACUAUCACACCAAAUCUCCCCGGCGACCAAUGUGAUUAUAUUGUAUGUUGAUGCAAUGUGUAUGUACAUUACAAAAACAUAAAGAAUAAUAAAUAUA